AAAAAUGAUUCUUAAUGUAGGAAGAGUUUUAAAACUCCAUAAGUGUUAAUAUAUUAAGUUAAUGUAAAGAGAGAAAAAUAUGGUUAAUAUUCUCAAGUUUAUCUAUGUUAUAAUCUUCUUUAUUCUCAUGUUUUUUGUUUUAAUAGACGUUGAUGGCCAUGUACUUGUUGAAUGUAUUGAGAACAACGAUUGUGAAAAAGGAAUGUGUAAAUUUCCUUUUAUUGUGAGGUGCUUAAUGGACCAAUGUAAAUGUGUUCGUAUACACAACCUAAUAUAGAAGGAGCAUACCUAAGAAAAAGCUCGGAAGGGGAGAAUGAACUCUAUCAAUAGCAAAAGAUUUAAGCAAGAUAGCUUCCACUAAAAUAUUACAUGAGUUGUCAUUUAAUUAUUGUGUUGGUAUCUUAUAUUUUAUUUUACUUUUAUUUUUACUCUACUAAUUCGUAGACUUUUCUGUUGUGGUUUUCUAUUCUAAUACGACCUUAAGAAAAUAAAAUAAAAUGAUAAUAAUAUUAUUUA